rnacentral:rRNA from 1 species
GGACACAUGAACAUCGACAUUUCGAACGCACAUUGCGGUCCACGGAUACAAUUCCCGGACCACGCCUGGCUGAGGGUCGUU